UAUAUUUUAUUGUUUUAUGCAUUUAAGAUUUUGAUUUUUAAGGAUUAGUUUAAUACUAAAAAUAUAA
rnacentral:tRNA from 1 species